GGAGGAGUGGCUGAGUGGUUGAAGGCGACGGUCUUGAAAACCGUUGUACGGGAAACUGUACCGUGGGUUCGAAUCCCACCUCCUCCGCCA
rnacentral:tRNA from 1 species